UACGAAGGGGGCUAGCGUUGCUCGGAAUCACUGGGCGUAAAGCGCACGUAGGCGGCCUGAUAAGUCGGGUGUGAAAGCCCUGGGCUCAACCCAGGAAGUGCACUCGAAACUGUCAGGCUUGAAUAUGGAAGAGGGUCGCGGAAUUCCCGGUGUAGAGGUGAAAUUCGUAGAUAUCGGGAGGAACACCAGUGGCGAAGGCGGCGACCUGGGCCAAUAUUGACGCUGAGGUGCGAAAGCGUGGGGAGCGAACAGG
rnacentral:rRNA from 1 species